rnacentral:lncRNA from 1 species
GUGGGUCUACCGAGGAAGAAAAUCCCGCCUCACGUUUCAACACACCGGCUCCCCGCGAAUCCCAUUCGAAGACAAAAGUUUAUUCAUGCCAUCAAAAAAGUUCGAAACAAUUAGGAUUAUCAAGAAAUUCAAAAAAAGUUAUAGUUGUAUGCUCGUUUCAUUUUCACCCUAUGAUUUCACUUAUGAGGGUUUGGAUAGGAAUCCUAGUAGAAAGAAAAAGAAAAUCCGUGAUGGGAAAGUGAAGAAGCCUCGCUUAAAAGAAGAUGUUGUUCCUUGCAUUUAGCCCAACUUACCCAGUUAUCUAUCCACUCCUUCAACAUCAAGACGAUCAUCUACGGCCCCUUCAGCUUCUCGCUUUGAGAAAGAGGAAGAAAUGAUAGAUUCAGCGUCAAAAGCUUUUUUCGAAGCUGAAAAAAUCCCUCAAUUUGAAACUGUCAGGUCCUUAUUGAAAGAUGGGAACAUUUCUCUACACAGCGGAUUUCAAGUUCUUCAAAUCAAACCCAAAAAUAGAGAUAUUCUUCCAUUUUGUGAGGGUGAAAAUGGACUCCCUGUGGUAGAAAGAGGAAUAAAAUAUGAGCUUCAAAGCUUUUCUCCAAGGUUCCAUUGUACCUACUCAUCGUCUUAAGCACUUAGUUAAGAAAGAUGGAAACCUUACAGAGACUUUGCAAAUUCCAAACAUUUUGUCUCUUUUAAAAAGCAUACAACUAGAAAAAGAAGAAUUCUUAUUAAAGAUGCAUUGAAUAACCUAGAAGAAAAAGUCUAAGUGAUCAUUCUUUCGGAUGGCAGGGGCAAACUAUUUCAUCUAAAUUAGACAACUUCUUCAAGCAGAAAAAACAAUUUGCUUUAGAGCUUUUUCAAAAUAUACCAAAGUUCCAAUAACCGAGUUGGACGGAAUAUUUGAAGACACCAAUGAAUUGGAAUGUGAAGGAGACUUAGAUUUGGUGUUUAAAAUCUGUAACACCGAAAUUGGGUUUGCCAAAAAAGGUACUGAAGUCAAUGUUACUCUUUACUACAUCGGUGGUUUCAUUGCAAAGGCGGUCUCUAAAAAAAAAAGUAUUGUUUCAGCUCCUAGAAUCUUUUAAUUUAAGAGAGUUCCUUGGAUGUCAAUAAUAUUCAAGCUACCACCGAAGAAGAAGCUUAUAAAACAGUUAAAGUGAGUUGAUUAAUAGAGGAGAACUUAUUAGCCCUUCGAAUGUGCUCUUUUGUCAAUUCGCUACAUAAACAACUUCCUAAGUAGCAUUUUGAAGAGUCGAGAUUUAAUCAAAAAGUUGUUCAACUCUUCAUCUGCUACUGAUAUUUUCAAUUGUGUGGUGAUCCAAAGAAUUAAUGGCGAUGAAAGUGCAUUCUCACUUCUAGAUAAAAAAUGUGAAUCUGGUUACUACUACCAGGAUUUAUUGAGCAAGAUUUCAUCCAAAAUAUUCAAUGUCAAUAUCAGGAACUUUGUAAGUACAAGAAAAGAUGAGUCUCAAGCGGAAAAAGGAAUCAACAUCAUAUCAACGAAAAAAAGCUGCUGAAUUAUCCUCUGUCUUCCGAAAAAUAACUUUAUUUGAAUAUUUUAUAUAUUAUUUGAAUACAUUCCACAUUUUGAUUAAAAUUAA